rnacentral:rRNA from 1 species
AGAGUUUGAUCCUGGCUCAGAUUGAACGCUGGCGGCAGGCCUAACACAUGCAAGUCGAGCGGAUGAAGGGAGCUUGCUCCCUGAUUUAGCGGCGGACGGGUGAGUAAUGCCUAGGAAUCUGCCUGGUAGUGGGGGAUAACGUUCCGAAAGGAACGCUAAUACCGCAUACGUCCUACGGGAGAAAGCAGGGGACCUUCGGGCCUUGCGCUAUCAGAUGAGCCUAGGUCGGAUUAGCUAGUUGGUGAGGUAAUGGCUCACCAAGGCGACGAUCCGUAACUGGUCUGAGAGGAUGAUCAGUCACACUGGAACUGAGACACGGUCCAGACUCCUACGGGAGGCAGCAGUGGGGAAUAUUGGACAAUGGGCGAAAGCCUGAUCCAGCCAUGCCGCGUGUGUGAAGAAGGUCUUCGGAUUGUAAAGCACUUUAAGUUGGGAGGAAGGGCAUUAACCUAAUACGUUAGUGUUUUGACGUUACCGACAGAAUAAGCACCGGCUAACUUCGUGCCAGCAGCCGCGGUAAUACGAAGGGUGCAAGCGUUAAUCGGAAUUACUGGGCGUAAAGCGCGCGUAGGUGGUUCGUUAAGUUGGAUGUGAAAGCCCCGGGCUCAACCUAGGAACUGCAUCCAAAACUGGCGAGCUAGAGUACGGUAGAGGGUGGUGGAAUUUCCUGUGUAGCGGUGAAAUGCGUAGA